UGCAGUCGACGGUAAGGCCUUUCGGGGUCAUACGAGUGGCGAACGGGUGAGUAACACGUGAGCAACCUGCCCUUGACUUCGGAAUACCAGCUGGAAACAGCUGCUAAUACCGGAUAUGACCCUGGUCCUCCUGGACUGGGGUGGAAAGCUCCGGCGGUCAGGGAUGGGCUCGCGGCCUAUCAGCUUGUUGGUGAGGUAAUGGCUCACCAAGGCUUCGACGGGUAGCCGGCCUGAGAGGGCGACCGGCCACACUGGGACUGAGAUACGGCCCAGACUCCUACGGGAGGCAGCAGUGGGGAAUAUUGCACAAUGGGCGCAAGCCUGAUGCAGCAACGCCGCGUGCGGGAUGACGGCCUUCGGGUUGUAAACCGCUUUCAGUAGGGACGAAGCCACAAGUGACGGUACCUACAGAAGAAGGACCGGCUAACUACGUGCCAGCAGCCGCGGUGAUACGUAGGGUCCGAGCGUUGUCCGGAAUUAUUGGGCGUAAAGGGCUUGUAGGCGGUCCGUCGCGUCAGGAGUGAAAACUCGGGGCUUAACCCCGAGCCUGCUUUUGAUACGGGCGGACUAGAGGGAUGCAGGGGAGAACGGAAUUCCUGGUGGAGCGGUGGAAUGCGCAGAUAUCAGGAGGAACACCGGUGGCGAAGGCGGUUCUCUGGGCAUCACCUGACGCUGAGAAGCGAAAGCGUGGGGAGCAAACAGGCUUAGAUACCCUGGUAGUCCACGCCGUAAACGGUGGGCACUAGGUGUGGGGGACAUUCCACGUUCUCCGUGCCGAAGCUAACGCAUUAAGUGCCCCGCCUGGGGAGUACGGCCGCAAGGCUAAAACUCAAAGGAAUUGACGGGGGCCCGCACAAGCGGCGGAGCAUGCGGAUUAAUUCGAUGCAACGCGAAGAACCUUACCUGGGUUUGACAUACACCGGAAAGCUGCAGAGAUGUAGCCCCCGCAAGGUCGGUGUACGGGUGGUGCAUGGCUUUCGUCAGCUCGUGUCGUGAGA
rnacentral:rRNA from 1 species